rnacentral:lncRNA from 1 species
UGGGUGGUGUUUACUUUGGGACUUUAAGGCAGAGGACGCAACAAGUUAACACAAAAAGGAAAAGAUAUGGCUAAAUGGGGUGGGGAUGAUGAUUGCACUCUCCAGAAAAUUUUGUUCUAGUUGGUUGGCUUUUUAAUUUAAAUAUGAUAAAGCUCAGGAAAUUGUGUCAUAUUACUACUCUCUUAUGAUGAAUUUUUGAACUUUGAUAUCAUU